GGAGGUUACGGCAGCACCAAUAUACUCAAUAUACACAUCAGUGCCCAAGGAGGGAAAAGAGGACUGAGGAAGGGGUCAGGACUGGGUUUCUUUCAACUGAAACAGAUUUAUGGAUUCAAGGAGCUUGAGAGAUUCUAUCUACAGAAGCUCUUCAAUCUCAGGGCUAAGAAAGCGGGCUCCAGCCUCCACAUGCCUGGUUGUUGAGUCUUCCUGGAUCCAGUCUCUGGCAACCUCAGAGAAGGAAAGUUUUUGCUGGAAAUGACAGUGUGGAAAGGUGGGGAGGAACGAGUUCUUGUCUGAUGGCUGCCAACAGGAGAAGGCUGAAAUGGGCAGGCUUGCACAGCCAAUGCCUACUACUAUUUGGACAAAAGAUGUCAACUAAUAUCCAUUAUCUAGAGAUGAGUGCCCCAAACAUGCUUUUGUUCACACUCCCUUCUCCGCGGCUUUCCACGUCAACUCCAGGCUGCCUGGAGGCCCUGGAGUGGCAUUGGCCAUGCUAAGAAGAAUGAUACAGGAAAGAAGGAGAAGAGAUCCAUUGUCAUUUCAGAAGAGAAAGUAGGUCCCAUGCAAACUCAACUUCUUUCAGAACUGAUUGACACAUCAAUUGUGAAAAUUAUGGAAACUGUAGUUAAAGACGAAGAAAAUAAAAAUCAAAACAAAUGCCGUCACCUAAUGAUAACAACUGUUAAUGUUUUGUUGUGCAUCCUUUUGUUUCUCCAUCCCUCUUUAAACAUUUUUCAAAACAAAAAUGUGAUCAUAGGG
rnacentral:lncRNA from 1 species